AUGACAAUUUAUUUAUUAAAGAUGACAAAGAUGGUGUGGCAGGAGCUAAGGGAACCAGGUUUGCUAAAGUAAUAGUGGUGAUAGAAUGUACUAGCCUCAGAAGCUCCUGAGGUGCCCUUUCUGUCCUCACACAGUG
ensembl:snoRNA SNORA66 Small nucleolar RNA SNORA66